rnacentral:rRNA from 1 species
UACAUAGGGUGCGAGCGUUAAUCGGAAUUACUGGGCGUAAAGCGCACGUAGUCGGCUUUGCAAGUCGGGUGUGAAAUCCCCGGGCUCAACCUGGGAACUGCAUCCGAGACUGCAUUGCUAGAGUAUGGGAGAGGGAAGCGGAAUUUCUGGUGUAGCAGUGAAAUGCGUAGAUAUCAGAAGGAACAUCAGUGGCGAAGGCGGCUUCCUGGACCAAUACUGACGAUCAGGUGCGAAAGCGUGGGGAGCAAACAAG